AUAUAUAUAUAUAUAUAUAUAUAUAUAUAUAUAUCAUUUUUUUUGUUAACAUAGAGAACCAAUAUGCACUUAUCUACCAAUCCACUCCUCGGAUUGCCAAACCAGUUUUGCCGGGAAAUCGGCCAAUUCAUACGUCAACAGGGGCUAACGGUCCCGAUCAGUACAUAAACAUGUUACAUGUGCGAAAACAUACAUCAAUUAGGAUAAAAUUCAAUUUUCCAUACAUAAACUUACAAAAUUGGGUUUUAACAUACAUUGACCUGAUUUCCGUUAGUCAGACAUUACGGAAUAAGAGUUUUCGUUAACCGGUAACAUGAAAUUGACCAAUUCCUACAUCAACAGGGGUCAACGUUCCCGAUCAAUACAAUUACACUGUACAUAUGCGAAAACAUACAUCAACUAAUACAAUUUUUAAAUUAAAUACAUGAACUUUCGAAAUCUGGUUUUAACAUACACUAACAUAAUUUUCACUAGUCAAACAUUACUGAAGAUAAAUUGUAUGUUAUGUAUUGAUUAAGUGAAAUUUUUAUUGUAUUAUGUGGUAAUUAAACCAUAUUACGUAGUAAUUGACUAAGAAAAAUAAAUUAUUUAGGCCAAACGAUUUAGUUCUCGUGUAAAUAAUUAGUUAGAUUCUCUUUAACUUUUUUUUUUGUUUUUUUAUCUUUUUCGGCAAAAGACCUAACACGGAGAAGACAAUAGAGGAAAAAAUCGAACAUAAAAACGGGAAUGUCUAACCUAUCGAACAAAAGAAGAAUUAGGAUUGGAUAAGCUAAACAUUCUUGUUUUUCUCUAUGCGAUUUUGUUCUCUGUUGUCUUCUUUGUAUUAGGUUUUUUGCCGAAAAAGUCGAAGAACAAAAAGUUAAAGAGAAAAGCUAACUAAUGAGUUACACAAGAACAAAAUCGUUUGGUCUAAAUGAUUUAUUUUUCUCAGUCAAUUACCACAUAAAACAAUUUAAUUAGAACGAAAUCAUUUGGCCUAAAUGAUUUAUAUUUCUUUGUCAAUUACCACUUAAUACGGUUUAUUUACCACAUAAUACAAUAAAAACCUCACUUAAUCAACACGUGACAUAUAAUUUAUCUUCGGUAAUAUUGGACUAGUAAAAAUUAUGUUAGUGUAUGUUAGUUAAAACCAGAUUUCAAAAGUUCAUGUAUUUAAUUUAAAAAUUGUAUUAGUUGAUGUAUGUUUUCGCACAUGUAAAGUGUUUAUGUAUUGAUCGAAAACGUUGACCCCUGUUGAUGUAGGAAUUGGCCAAUUUCAUGUUAUCGGUUAACGAAAACUCUUAUUCCGUAACGUUUGACUAACAGAAAUCAGGGUAAUGUAUGUUAAAACCCAAUUUUAUAAGUUCAUGUAUAGAAAAUUGAAUUUUAUCCUAGUUGAUGUAUGUUUUCGCACAUGUAACGUGUUUAUGUACUAAUCGGGACCGUUACCCCUUAUUGACGUAUGAAUUGGUCGAUUUCCCAGUUUUGCCCAAGGGACCGAAUUCAUUUUAAUCCGAUUACUCUCCCAAACCUUCUUGGCAGAGAAAAUAUUCCCUUUCUUUCCAUUGACAUAUCAAAUCAGAAAAUCAGAAGCAGUAGAAGGGGAUAUGGUAGAGAUAAAAGCGAGAAUCUGAAGUUGCUGAUUCGAUCUCGCCGGUGACAUUCUCCAAUCAGAAUCAGUGAUGCAGUCACAGACAAGAGGAUUUACUGGAAUACUCCAAUCCGUAGGAUCCAUAGGACCAAGGUAUUCUAUAAGAGGUCCGAAAGGUGUCCAGGGUCUCACCAAAAAUAAGUUUCACCUCCUCCCCGAACCAUAAUUUGCAGGAAGGGAUAGAUGUCAAAUUUUAACUGUUCAACAACAUAUUUUUCAAAGAUAUCAAGAAAUGGACCGGGCCACAAUACGAGGGAAAGCUAAAUGAGGUCGUCGAGGCCGCAGGUACCAAACUCCCUAGUGAUUUGCUCCUUCCUUUUCCUUCUCUUGUUUCAGUAAGCUUAUGUAUGUCAGUUUCUUUGUAUAUUCUAAGUUUUUGCUUAGCAGAUUAUGGGCUUGCCUCAUCGUACUUUCUCAAACUCUAAGGUUGAAAAGUCAUAUCUUGUAUGUUUUAUAUCUUUUAAUUUGAAUGUCUAUUUUCAAAAGAAAAAACAAUAUAUUUUUCAGAGCAUAUGGUAUUAGAAAAAUGAAACGAUCCCUUUCAGAAGUGAUCUAGUUGAGAAAAAAAAAAGUGUGUCUAAUAAUCUAAGUCAAAACGAUUUACAAUGGUUCAGGAGUAAAUUUUUUAAUAUUUAUAAAGUCAAAAGUCUUUAAUCAAGACCAAAAUAAAUUGAUUUCUUUCCCUAAUUAUAAAUCAUAAUAUAGAACUAAACCAAAUUAUAUUUUCUUAUAAAAAAUACAAUUCUUAUUUUAAAAUAAGUAAAUAUCAGUAGCUUCAAAGGAAAAACAAUAUACAAAUGUACAAAUGCACAGACUGAAUACAUGAUUCAACGUUACAUAAAUAUUCAGUCACCUCUUCAUAUAUUUUUACAUUUUUGUCAACACCAAUAAAUACGGAACCACUAUGCACGUAUCUAACAAUCCAAUCAACCAAAAUUACAUAACGAUGGUUUUCUCUAAUAAGCUUCAUUGCCUAUUGAUGUUUAUGAUCUCAUCUUUUACUCUUAUUAUUUUUGCAUCAGCGUUAGAUGUCUCAAACGUAGUGAAGGAUGCAGGAACAUCAAAAUCAGGCGAUGAUACGUUGUUACCUUUAGCAAGAAAGUAUGUUGUAAUCCACAACACUAUAGAGAACAAGCAAAGUCUGAAUGUACAUUGCAAAUCAAGGGAGGAUGAUUUGGGGAUGAUCCAUAUCCCUUGGAACCAUUACUGGAGUUUCAGAUUUCAUGUUAAUAUUUCGAAAACUACGAAUUAUCGUUGCCAAUUUUCGUGGUAUGGAGGCGGAUCUCACUAUUUUGAUAUAUUUAAAGUAUCAAGAGACGAUACUCAAUUUGGUAAGGUUCCAAUCUGUAAAGAAUGCAUUUGGGAGGUGAGAAAAGAGUCAAGAGAUGGUAAAUCCUCUAUAUGUCGUAUAAAUCGCAAUGGAUAUCCUCAUUACUGUUUCGGAUGGGACAAUGAAUAGUCUGUAAGGAAUAUUUUAUUGCUAUUACUGUGUAUCGUUUAAUAGAUAUUACGAAAUAAAAAUGAAUUAAUAAUAGGAUUCUUCCUAAUGUUCGAAUGUUUCCACAUAAACAAACUAAUUCGAUGGGUUUGAUUCAGAGCUCCCAUAUAGUCAUAUCUAGAGAAACUUGGUGAUCAAGUAAAUCAGCCACCCAAAUUUAUCAAAAAGAUGAUAUAGAACAACAACAUUCGAAGGGUAUACAGUAAUAGACUAGAAGUAAUAUUUUUCAUAGCUUAAUGUUGGACGGUUAAUAUAAAAUUUUAGCUGUAAAUAUCCGUUGUAGGGGCAUCUUCAACCUGUGAUACUAUUUUAGUAUCAAAAUUACACCAUUUUAAAGUAUUUUAGCAUUAAAAUUUUUGACUCUCCAACCACAACACCAAAUACUACACUAAAAAUAAAUACUUUCCAUUAUUAUAUUAUUAAUCAAGAUUCUUUUUUUUAUAAAUACUAAUUAUUUUUUGAUAAAAGCUAUUAAUUAACAGUAAAACUAUAAUAAAAUAAUAUUUCUAUUUCAAAAUAUUACCUGAUCGAGUUAUAAAGAGGUUGAUAGUGCUUUCAAAGUGAUGUAAGAUCUCUCUACAGCUUAAAUUAUUUUUACAGCCCAAAUUUUUGCCAAUCAUAGUUUGUAAAGAUUCUUUAAAGCUAAAGAUUUUUUUUUCUUUUUUAUUUAUUUUUUGCUGUGGAAAGCCAUAGAAUCUAUAACAUUUAUUUUUUGCUUUAGAAAAUUUAUAUGAAAGUCACUGAAUCUUUUUAAACCUACAACUAAUAUUUUACAGCAAAGUUAUCUACAGUCACAGCAAAAAAAAAAUCUAUAGUUUUAUUUCUAAAGAAAAAAAUAUAAAACUACAGUUCAUUCUAAUCAUCCCCAAAAUAGUAAUACAAAUCUUAAGUAAUCAAUUUUAAUUAGACAAUAUUUAAAUAAACAGUUUUGAUUUCACCAAAAAAAACAGUUCAAAAAAAAAUAUUUGUCGUUACUAUAGUGUGUCACUGUUGGAAAUAAAGGAUUCUAUUAAUAUAUAGAAGAGCUGAACUCUCUUCUCCUCUUACCACCUAAGUAAAUAAUGCAACUAGGUGAUGCCACUUGUCUCACUCCACAAAAGUCACUAGGUAGAGUCAACUCUAAUCUUCGCUUCACGUCGUCUUACAUAAGUUUAGGGUUCGUCUUUGUUCUUCGUUCAAUCGCGACCUCUGAACUUCGUCUCCAUCACCGAAACGGUCUAUGUUACAGAAUCUCGGUGUGUUAAAUCUCCUAUUAAUUCAAUCAAUCACGGUGUAAUUUAGCUUCAGCUUCUUUUGUGAAACCUUCUUAAUUUUGUUUCAGGCGACUAUUAUGCCAGCCACCACAAGUGCUAACCGGGUUCAAAUCUUAUCUUCAAGCGCAUGCGAGAAAGAAAUAGAGUUCGAGCCGGAAGAUCAUCAGCCAAGAAGUUCUGUCAAGGCUCAGCUGUCAGGGAGGAAGCGGCUGGUUGGAGGAAACUCAAGCAACAUGAGUUCGAAGGGAGCCAAGAAAAUCUAUAAACAAGUUUAAGGAGAAGCUUCAGACUAUGAGGAGGAAAUAUACAACUACAUAAAUUACGGGUGAACAAGCUUCUGCUUCGAAUCGUCAUCAACAAAAGUACUUUCAGUUGUCAACUUACGUUAAAGUUCUAUUUUCUUCAGUUAUCUUUUGAUUUUUCCAUUUUGUUUUUACUUAACUGAUAAUUUUCUGUUUUAAGUUUAUCUAAUAGAUAGUUGAUGUUCAAAGAUCUUUAUCAUUGAUUUAAUUAUGCUAAAUUUUUGGUAUCUGGUACGUAGUGAUAUGUACUACGUAUGUUAGACAAUUUAUUACACUAGGUCAAAUAUCCGGGUUUUGCGGAGAAUAAACAUUAUGUACACAAAUUAUUUUUAAGUAUUUUAUUUAUUUUGUAUUUAUUUACGUUUUAUGAAAUAAUAAAUCUAAAUUAUAAUGAGACAUUUUGUUCAUUCCUUUGUGUGCCAUGUCAACAUUUUGUAGAUUCUACUUUUAAAAAGUGUUAAAAAAUGUUAGAUUCGGGUUAUUGAGAUAUAAACACCAACACUUAUACCACUAAACUAAAUGAUACUUUGUACAUUGAUAGCCGAAACUAAUAUAUAUUUAUGAAAGUUGGAAGUCCUUACUUCUUCGGCUUCCUCUGAGGACCGGGCAUACAAGUGUAUUAUGAGUUUCAUUUUUAAAGGGAAUUCAUCACAUUAUAUGAAAAAAAAACUCAAGUUUGCAACAAUUAUAGUUUUCCCAUAUUGUAAACUGUCGUCGUUAAACAUGAGCUAGGGUUCUUUUCAUCAUUGUCUCAGACAAGUCUGAGUUACAUAGUUGUGCCGUGUGUCUGUUCGUAAUCUAUUUUUUCACCGGUGAACUCUUCAUCUCCCCAUCUUAAAUCGCUUGAUCAUAAAUGUUACUGAUUUGUAGCCCCUCCGUAAACCCUAUAUAUCUAUGAUUCUCAUCUUUGAUGAACUCAAUCUGCAUCUCCGCAAAACUCAUUGAUUCCUCUUAGCUUUAAUCAUCUUCUAGAAAAUGUCUCUCUCUGCCUUUCCAGUUCCUCAAAUCGGCGUCCCCGGCAUCCGACACUCAACCUUCGAGUCUCUCAUUCGCUUCUGGGAUUCCCUAAACUUCAAGAAAGACAGUGAAUUUAUGGGAAUCACGGUUCUCUUCCUUGAUGAAAAAGUAAGUUAAUCUUCGAUCUAUCACACUUAUGUAACAUAAUUGUUUUUAAUUGAUUUUAUGAUUCUUUGUUGAAUAAUAUUAUUUGCAGAUUCCGUGAUUUAUGGGUUUAUUCCCUGACGUGCUAAUUAUUACAUGUCAUCUUUGAAAGCCUAUUCCAUUAUGAAAGUCGAUCGUUUUGAGGUUGAUAGGUGCUUAAGUUUGUACAAGAUAACUGAUCAUUCAUUCCUCAUUCGUUUCAUCUCACCAACCAUUAUUGAUGAAGUCAUCACAUGUGCUCCUGAGAACAAUCUCCAGUCAUGAUUAGACUGUUUGACAAUCUCCAAGUGACUGCGAACACAAACCUAGAACUCCCAGGUAUAUUAUCAUAUUGCAUCUGAGUUUAUAUUAUGUUUCAAUAUCAUAACUGAUAUUUAAACUCGCAGAUGUGGUUGGACAAAUCAUGUUAUGUUCAAGGCUCUGACUUCACCAAAGAAACAACUCGAUUCGUUAUUCGUCUCCUCAUUGAUCCGUAAGAAACAAUCAACACAUAAUUUCCUUUAUAUUACUGUCUAUAUUGUGCUAACAUCAAUAAUCAAAAAUAUUUCCUACCCAAGAUAUGUGGUCGUUUAUUUAUUUCUCUUACUUUUUUUUUUGGUCAAAAAAGAAAAGGAAAAAAAAAACUAAUUUUACACAAAACUUUAUUUUACAGCUUAAAAGAAACCACAACAACCCAAACAAUCAAAACACUAAAAAUUAGAAUU